rnacentral:rRNA from 1 species
UACGUAGGGGGCAAGCGUUGUCCGGAAUUAUUGGGCGUAAAGAGCGUGUAGGCGGCCAGGUAGGUCUGCUGUGAAAACUCGCGGCUCAACCUCGAGACGUCGGCGGAAACCAUCUGGCUAGAGUCCGGAAGAGGAGAGUGGAAUUCCUGGUGUAGCGGUGAAAUGCGCAGAUAUCAGGAAGAACACCCGUGGCGAAGGCGGCUCUCUGGGACGGUACUGACGCUGAGACGCGAAAGCGUGGGGAGCGAACAGG